GUGAAAUCUAUACAUGCUCCUUGGAAAUGUGUAUUACUGAAAGCUUUGAGCAAAUGCGGAGGCUCAUUUGUUCCAAGUGGUUCCAACUUAAUAGGUCGAAUCGACAUAAUGAUUUUACUGGAUCCUCCCCAGUCAAAGAAACACUUAUAUUUUCCUUUCUCCAAUACAUACUGUUCUCCACAGAAAUGUUUCUGCUGAUAUGCAACCCACACUCCACUUUUCACGAGAAUCGACUUUGUUUCUGGGCCAAAUCCAGUCUGUUCCAAAUCAGGAAUUUCUUCAUUGACAAUGUCCAGAGCUUUCCCGUCUUCAUCAUCGGAUUGAAAAAGUGCCACUGACGACUCUAUGAAAUCAGCCUGAAGGAACCGGAAAGACAGGAGGACACUGCCAGUUCCUCCCCAUGUGUGCAUGUCCUCAUAAUCUCCCUCCUCGAGCAAGUACUGACGGCCUUUGUAACGUUCUUUGUCAUAGGCAACCCAUACGCCACCAAUGACACGUAUUGAUCCAAUUUCCUGAAAAUCCUCUUCAUUGCCAAACAGAGCCAGGACUGAACUGAUAUUUUCUGAGAACUCUUUGGACCACCCUCCAAAGUGGGUUUUCUCAUAUAUUAUUAUCUUGACAUUCAUAGGCAUUUGGACCUUUAAUCCACCCAUUUUUAAGGGACGCACAGAUCUUACAUCUGCUGAAGGAAUUUCAGAUAGUUCACUGCAUUCUUCCAAAAUCUUCAUCUCUCCCUUGUAAUUUAAAUCUGAAUAAGCAAGCCAU
rnacentral:lncRNA from 1 species